rnacentral:rRNA from 1 species
GAAUGUGCUGGAAAGCACAGCGAUACAGGGUGAUAGCCCCGUAACCGGUAGCAUCUUAUCAGUGAAAACGAGUAGGACGGGACACGUGAUAUCCUGUUUGAAGAUGGGGGGACCAUCCUCCAAGGCUAAAUACUCCUGACUGACCGAUAGUGAACCAGUACCGUGAGGGAAAGGCGAAAAGAACCCCUGUGAGGGGAGUGAAAUAGAACCUGAAACCGUGUACGUACAAGCAGUAGGAGCCCACUUGUUGGGUGACUGCGUACCUUUUGUAUAAUGGGUCAGCGACUUAAUUUUAGUAGCAAGGUUAACCGAUUAGGGGAGCCGUAGGGAAACCGAGUCUUAACUGGGCGUACAGUUGCUAGGAUUAGACCCGAAACCAGGUGAUCUAGCCAUGGGCAGGUUGAAGGUGAGGUAACACUUACUGGAGGACCGAACCGACUAAUGUUGAAAAAUUAGCGGAUGACUUGUGGCUAGGGGUGAAAGGCCAAUCAAACCUGGAGAUAGCUGGUUCUCCCCGAAAGCUAUUUAGGUAGCGCCUCGGACGAAUACUACUGGGGGUAGAGCACUGUUAAGGCUAGGGGGUCAUCCCGACUUACCAACCCUUUGCAAACUCCGAAUACCAGUAAGUACUAUCCGGGAGACACACGGCGGGUGCUAACGUCCGUCGUGGAGAGGGAAACAACCCAGACCGCCAGCUAAGGUCCCAAAGUUAUAGCUAAGUGGGAAACGAUGUGGGAAGGCUCAGACAGCCAGGAUGUUGGCUUAGAAGCAGCCAUCAUUUAAAGAAAGCGUAAUAGCUCACUGGUCGAGUCGGCCUGCGCGGAAGAUUUAACGGGGCUAAGCUAUACACCGAAGCUGCGGCAAUGUGACUUGUUCACAUUGGGUAGGGGAGCGUUCUGUAAGCGGUUGAAGGUGCAUCGUAAGGUGUGCUGGACGUAUCAGAAGUGCGAAUGCUGACAUGAGUAACGAUAAAGGGAGUGAAAAACUCCCUCGCCGGAAGACCAAGGGUUCCUGUCCAACGUUAAUCGGGGCAGGGUAAGUCGACCCCUAAGGCGAGGCCGAAAGGCGUAGUCGAUGGGAAACGGGUUAAUAUUCCCGUACUUCUUAUAAUUGCGAUGGGGGGACGGAGAAGGCUAGGUGGGCCUGGCGACGGUUGUCCAGGUUCAAGGGUGUAGGCUGUAAUCUUAGGCAAAUCCGGGAUUACACUAGGCUGAGACCCGAUGUCGAGUCACUACGGUGAUGAAGUCAUUGAUGCCAUGCUUCCGGGAAAAGCCUCUAAGCUUCAGAUUAUAAGAAAUCGUACCCCAAACCGACACAGGUGGUCGGGUAGAGAAUACCAAGGCGCUUGAGAGAACUCGGGUGAAGGAACUAGGCAAAAUGGUACCGUAACUUCGGGAGAAGGUACGCUGCCGGCGGUGACGGGACUUGCUCUCUCAGCUGCUGGCAGUCGCAGAUACCAGGUGGCUGCAACUGUUUAUUAAAAACACAGCACUGUGCAAAAUCGAAAGAUGACGUAUACGGUGUGACGCCUGCCCGGUGCCGGAAGGUUAAUUGAUGGGGUU